CUCACUCAUAAGUCUCUACCGGAUGUCAAUCUUCUUGCACUUUAUUUUCUCCAAGCUUUUCUAGCAAUUUACUAUUUGUCAAGUCGGUACAGUACAGUUUUUAAAAACCUUAUAUUGUAAAUUUUACACUUUAAUGGCAUAAAUCUUCAGAGGAAAUGGCUGCAAGCAAAGUGACACCCCACGAGGAAGAGGCAACAGGUUCCUUACAGAACAAGAUGGCCCCAAAAUAUGCAACAUGAUGAUGAAAGUGAUACAGAAACCAUCAAUGAAGGUCUGUUAGGAUGAAAGGACACAUCCAGAGACACCUACUCAGCAGGGAUGCGUUACAUCUCAGCCAGAAGGGAUCCAGAGCUGUUGUUGGUGACAUCUAGUUGGCUAUUCAGCAUUUGAAGUCUACACCUAGCUCUCCAUCAGCUUCUCGUACACCAGAAGCCUCUCCUUACCUAACAGCUCUUCUGUCCAGACCACCUGUAAAGACGAUGCCAGGAGACAUCACUAAGAAUGAAGAAUGACCAGCGUUACUAAUGGUAUACCAUCUUUGCACUUCCCACUCCUACUGACUCUCCUCCUUGCAUUCCUACUCACUUUCCUCACAAGUCUCUACCGGAUCUCAAUCUUCUCGCACUUUAAUUUCUCUAAGCUUUACUAGCAAUGUACUAUUUGUCAAGUCUGUACAGUAUUAUUUGUUAGAAUUUUACUCCAAUGUAUGUUUGCUAAUAAAUAUAAAUAAAAAAUAUUUUUUAUUUCCUUAUAAACUGUGACUUUUUGUCCUGUGAUAUUUUGUUCUACUUUAAUAUAAUUCUAAUUGUGACUUUUUGUCUUAUUUUCUUAUAAAACUGUGACUUUUUGACCUGUGACAUUUUGUCCUGCUUUCAUAAAAUUUCUUAAUGUAACUUUUUGCCCAUGGUCAUAUUGGCCGUGAGUUUUUGUAAUUUGUAAAGUUGUAAAUGGUUUGAUAGGUACAUAAUUUCAGCACAAUGUAUAUAUUAUAACUUUUAAAAUAAAAUAAAAAAUGAAAUAUUUUCAUGAUCCUGGUUCUAAUUAGGAACAUUUAUUUGAAUCAUUUUUUAUAUCAUAAAAUUACAAUUUUCUGAUAUCGAAUUCAUGACAAGGAACUACGUAAAAUGAGCAGUACUUUGAGUGAAUCUCACUCUUUCCAGUCAGCCAAUAAUAUGAUAGGAGUGGCUUCACGAGUAUGUACAAAUGCCACGGUAUCGACGUCCAGUUGUUUAAUAUCAUCAUGAAAGCUGUCGUCUUUGGUCUCGCGUCUCGGAAGAUCUAUCGAAGCAGACCCAAGAAUAAAUAUUUUGGAGUUGGUGGUGUUAUAAAUGUUAAUGAAUGUUUGUUUACUUAUGGAGAAAAUGUGGAUUAGCUCGAUUCUUGUGUUUUGUGCAUGUUGUCUCUUUACAGAUUCCUACAGUAUUAUUAUCAUUUACUACGUUUAAUAAUAUUGUCAGUUCAUUAUAGUAAAUACCUGUUUCAUCUUUUAUACUUGAAAUACAUCGGGAAAUCGUUAAAUACUAUUUUGUGUAUUCCCUCCAAAUUACAGGAAGUCAGACGAUGUCAUGCAUAUCUCGAUCCCGAUCUUGUU